CACAGGAGCACCCACAAUAGGCACAAGCCUCACACUCAACUCAGCACUACUCAAAUUCUUAACAACAUAUUUGAAAUCAUAAGCUGCAAAACUCCCAACUUCCUUGUAAAUAUCCACUCUACUCACAUUCUCACCAUUCACUACAAUCUCAAACACCCUUUUACCUGCCUUAUUCACACUAACAUCAAUUUCAGCAAAAUGAAACCAUAAUAAGUAAUCCAAUUUAGCGUCUACCGGUAACAGAUACUCCAAAAAUUCACCCCCUUCACCAAUUAUAGUAACUGCAGAUUGGUACAAUUUCAAAGGAAAAUAAUUUGGAGCUCUAUCUACAUUUAUCACAUUUUUAAUAGCAGAAAUAGCUUUAACAGUUGCUCCUGUGGUUUUAACGGCAAUCUUAGACCGGAAAUCGGCAUCCGAUUGCCAUGACCGGCCGAACCGGUCAGUGUCGUUGCUAAAACCGGGUCCCCAUUGAUCCGACCCGCUAGAAAAUCUACCAUAAUUCACCAAAAUUGAAGUGUCAUUGACUAGAUAAGAAGCUGGAUCAAUUUGGGUAAUUUCAAGAGAAGCAAUAACCGGUGAGUCAGUGGCAAUACUGUAAAAACAAACAUUAGCUUCAUCAUCGGAAACUGUAAAAAACAGAUCGGAAUACGCGCCGGCGCGUGAGAUAGUUUCGUGCCAAGGUGACCUCCAUUGAAAGACAACAUUACCCUCAACGGAAACAUCAAACGACGGCGAGUGCGACUUUCCGUCGUAAUUAUCAUACACUGUAAACGUCCGGAGCUGGUACCUGCCGGAGGGCAAAUUGGGGAUCACAUAACAGUUCUUCUUUCCAGAUGAAAUGGGGAAAUAACGAAGGGUUUUCUCCUGUGAGUGCUGAAAGUGAAGAGGUUCCGAUACAACGGAAAUUGCUCCGCCGGUAAAGUACCGGUCGGAAACCCAUGUAGUAUUGAAGAUAUCAGUUGAAUUUGAGAGACCCCCACAAUCAAUAUGCAAAGAGUAAUUGUAAGGAUAGUGAAGAGAAGAGGAAGAAGGGAGGAAAGGGAAGAGGCAAAUGAAGCAGAUGAUGAAGAAAAAAUGGAAAGGAGUCAUGGUGUAAUAGGGAAGAGGAAGAUAUUGUUGGUUCUUUGUACAUAUGAAAAAGCUAUGGCGAUUGCAUGGUGGUGGAGUGGUGGCGUGGGGGUG
rnacentral:misc_RNA from 1 species